CCCCCCCCCCGCCAACCCACUUACGCGCACACACUAGUAGGACAAUCUCGGAAGCAAAUAUUGGAGAUUGCAGCACCACCACACCAAACCACCAGUGAAAACCUCCAAUCCACACACACACACACACACACACUCGCAGGCAGAGCCAACUAGGCAAUUAAUUUAUGGAUCGUUAUCAUUAGCUUGAUCAGUGUGCUCGGGCACGAAAUAAACUCUCCUUUCCUUACCGCUCCUCCUCAGCCAAAUCUCAAAACCCCUCUAACGACCAACGACCACGGAACGAAACGUCCCCACCCAAGUCCAGAGCGCCCAGAGAACAUCACCCGGCAAGGGGUGGGGGAAGUGGACGAGGGUUGCUCUUCCCAAGCACUAGCCGGUCACAGCGGAAGGCACUAAUAGUCUCACCUCGCCGUGAGUGUUUGUGAGUUUGUAGUAGGGUGCAGGCACUGCGACUACGCCUAUCCGACGAAAAGGGCGACUAGGGGGAACAUUGGGGGAACGGGUUGCGGAGGUUCGGCCGCAGCUGCAUACACACAGCAGCAGGGCAGCAGGGCCGUGCGCACACGGCGACCCGAUGCAAAUGAGCGUUAGUGGGGAAGCUUUGUCUUAGUUUUUUUUUUUUUUCACCCCUCAGAUAUACCGCGCGUACGUCGCUUACUCCACCGUCACGCGCCGGUUGUGAAGCAGCGCUGAGCACGAGAGAACCCGAAGCAUUCCCAAAACCUGCACACACGCACACUGCUAUCUGGCUAGCCUAUUAGACGGAGACAUACACACACACACACACUCUCUCUCUCAUUGCGCCUCGCAGCUCCUUCCGCUUCCGCCGAGAGGUGGUUUUGCAGGCUUUCGCAGCGAAGAUGGUCUCGAGAGACACGCGGUGCAACGAUUUUGCUGCUUCUGGACUCUCAAAGAGAGCGAAAAAGAGAAAGAGAGAGAGAGAGAGAAAUUACCGCUGUAUGUCUGUGUGUCUGAGUUGGUACUUUUUUGGGCCUACGGGAAAGGGGUAGGAGUUCAAAACAGUCGAUUUGAGGCACUGCGAGUUGUGCGAAUGCAAACUAGCAUCGCGAUAAGCGACGUAAGAGCUAAAGGAGAUAUGGUUAAGAGACAUCCAACCAUUUCAAAUCCAAAUGUUUCACCAAAAUUCGAAACUCCAGCAUUAUCAUGAAGAUAUACGUGCUAAAAAUACCAUUUCUCAAGUGAAUUGGAGAGAAAAAAACGUCCACGAUGACGUCGUCUCCGGUAACGUGCAGGCCCAUCACCGCUUGGCAGAUUUGCGCCCAUUAAGCUGCCAGAGUUACAACCAAUUAAACGACCCAAGCACAGGCGGCGGUGUUAUUAUUUUCGCAACGAAUGUGUGAAACCAAUCCGCGCGCGCUUGCUGCAAAACCCUUCCGUUUUCCUUCCGCUCUAGUUUUAGUGUAAAAACAACCCCCGUCGGGUGAUAUAAAUACCCUGCGGGGUCAUGUCGCCACCAUGAUCGAUCCAAAGGAAUGAACAAAAAAAAAAACAAAAAGAAACAAGCAUGAAACGCGAGUGCCGUAAGCUAAUGCCAUCAUUAUUCAGUAGUCACCACCACCACAACACUACUAGCGCUGCUUUGCGAGAUUGUAUCAAAAUGUGUUGCAGAAGAAAAAAAAAGAGAGACAAAUUUAUACACAUACACACAAACAGAAAACAUCAAGCGAAGCGCACACAUUUCUUUUAAGGUCAUGUUCGUAGCAACAGCACAGCAGCAACGGACAUAUACCCAGCGAUCCGCUCCGUAUCAUUCCAGGCCCUUACACGCAGCAUGUCUGAGCCGAUACAUUGGUGUUGGUGCAAGCGAGCUACUAUUUUGCUGUCAAGAGUGAGAGAGCCGCAGAACGAGAGAGAGAGAGAAAAAGAUAGAUAGCGAGAGAGAGAGAGAGCGCCGCGCGUGCUUCAGUGAGAUCAAAACAAACCAUAAACGUUGGAGACCAACACAACACAGCACACGCACCGGCGGCACUGGUAGCUCUCUGUCUGCUCGUGACUUCCCCAAGGCACACCCGGCGACACCCACUGCUGCUGCAGCUGCUGGUUUGACCGGUGUGUGGGCACCAAAGGAGUUACCCACCGUGCGGAGAAGCGCAACACCAGUAUGAUUAUUCGUGUUUUGGGAAUCCGCCAUACAUUGCGCACACGGAAAGAGGUGCCAUUUUAUUACUGCCAUCUUGGUCCGGACGUUCUGUGUAGCGGGGGCUCUGCCGUCCUUGACGGGCGGAGUUACGUGGAUUGCUAUCGCUACCGACACAUCCCCGCAGGGGAGGGAUUUCGGUUGUCUAAAAAGGAACACUUUGAGGUCCUCUUGUGCGCCUCUACAAGCUACUGGAACAAGGAACGCGAAGCGUGUAGCGUUGAUUCGCCUCGAUAACGAGAGGACCUCGUCACCCACGGAGAUCUGUCGUUAUCAGAUGGCAGAUGACGCAAUUGGACUGCGCUUCAACAAACCUGGAAGUCACUUCCGCGGCCCCUUAAUCUACCACAGCAUCGGUAGGAGGUGUACUCCGCUGCUCACGCCGCCAUCAUCCCACCCGCCUUUUUUAUUCGGUCUUAUCGUGCCUAAUUAGUGGCUAAUGUGUUGCAAUCAUCAUGGCGCCCGCCCGAUUCAAAGGGGACAGCCAUUCCCCUCUCACCUGAUGGACCACCCUCCUCCCUCUUUCGCCCCAAACAAUCUGUGGUGUGGCAAAAAGCAGUGAUCCUUUCAUCGCCGCCAUCGAUUAUCGCGUGGUAUGUAAAAAAGAAAUAGUAAUAAUGAAAAAUAAAACACACACAACAAGC